UUUAUGGAGAGUUUGAUCCUGGCUCAGAGUGAACGCUGGCGGCGUGCCUAAUACAUGCAAGUCGAACGAUGAAGCUUCUAGCUUGCUAGAAGUGGAUUAGUGGCGCACGGGUGAGUAAGGUAUAGUUAAUCUGCCCUACACAAGAGGACAACAGUUAGAAAUGACUGCUAAUACUCCAUACUCCUUCUUAACACAAGUUAAGUUGGGAAAGUUUUUUCGGUGUAGGAUGAGACUAUAUUGUAUCAGCUAGUUGGUGAGGUAAUGGCUCACCAAGGCUAUGACGCAUAACUGGUCUGAGAGGAUGAUCAGUCACACUGGAACUGAGACACGGUCCAGACUCCUACGGGAGGCAGCAGUAGGGAAUAUUGCGCAAUGGGGGAAACCCUGACGCAGCAACGCCGCGUGGAGGAUGACACUUUUCGGAGCGUAAACUCCUUUUCUUAGGGAAGAAUUCUGACGGUACCUAAGGAAUAAGCACCGGCUAACUCCGUGCCAGCAGCCGCGGUAAUACGGAGGGUGCAAGCGUUACUCGGAAUCACUGGGCGUAAAGGACGCGUAGGCGGAUUAUCAAGUCUUUUGUGAAAUCUAAUGGCUUAACCAUUAAACUGCUUGAGAAACUGAUAAUCUAGAGUGAGGGAGAGGCAGAUGGAAUUGGUGGUGUAGGGGUAAAAUCCGUAGAGAUCACCAAGAAUACCCAUUGCGAAGGCGAUCUGCUAGAACUCAACUGACGCUAAUGCGUGAAAGCGUGGGGAGCAAACAGGAUUAGAUACCCUGGUAGUCCACGCCCUAAACGAUGUAUACUAGUUGUUGCUGUGCUAGUCAUGGCAGUAAUGCACCUAACGGAUUAAGUAUACCGCCUGGGGAGUACGGUCGCAAGAUUAAAACUCAAAGGAAUAGACGGGGACCCGCACAAGCGGUGGAGCAUGUGGUUUAAUUCGAUGAUACGCGAAGAACCUUACCUGGGCUUGAUAUCCUAAGAACCUUGUAGAGAUACGAGGGUGCUAGCUUGCUAGAACUUAGUGACAGGUGCUGCACGGCUGUCGUCAGCUCGUGUCGUGAGAUGUUCGGUUAAGUCCGGCAACGAGCGCAACCCACGUAUUUAGUUGCUAACAGUUUGGCUGAGCACUCUAAAUAUACUGCCUUCGUAAGGAGGAGGAAGGUGUGGACGACGUCAAGUCAUCAUGGCCCUUAUGCCCAGGGCGACACACGUGCUACAAUGGCAUAUACAAUGAGACGCAAUACCGCGAGGUGGAGCAAAUCUAUAAAAUAUGUCCCAGUUCGGAUUGUUCUCUGCAACUCGAGAGCAUGAAGCCGGAAUCGCUAGUAAUCGUAGAUCAGCCAUGCUACGGUGAAUACGUUCCCGGGUCUUGUACUCACCGCCCGUCACACCAUGGGAGUUGAUUUCACUCGAAGCCGGAAUACUAAACUAGUUACCGUCCACAGUGGAAUCAGCGACUGGGGUGAAGUCGUAACAAGGUAACCGUAGGAGAACCUGCGGUUGGAUCACCUCCUUUCUA
rnacentral:rRNA from 1 species